UACGUAGGGUGCGAGCGUUAAUCGGAAUUACUGGGCGUAAAGCGUGCGCAGGCGGUUCGUUGUGUCGGUGGUGAAAGCCCCGGGCUUAACCUGGGAAUGGCCAUGGAAACUGGCCAGCUGGAGUGUGGCAGAGGGGGGUGGAAUUCCGCGUGUAGCAGUGAAAUGCGUAGAGAUGCGGAGGAACACCGAUGGCGAAGGCAGCCCCCUGGGCCAACACUGACGCUCAGGCACGAAAGCGUGGGGAGCAAACAGG
rnacentral:rRNA from 1 species